rnacentral:rRNA from 1 species
AUAUCGACGGGAUGGUUUGGCACCUCGAUGUCGGCUCGUCGCAUCCUGGGGCUGGAGUCGGUCCCAAGGGUUGGGCUGUUCGCCCAUUAAAGCGGUACGCGAGCUGGGUUUAGAACGUCGUGAGACAGUUCGGUCCCUAUCCGCUGUGCGCGUAGGAGUCUUGAGAAGGGCUGUCCCUAGUACGAGAGGACCGGGACGGACGAACCUCUGGUGUGCCAGUUGUUCUGCCAAGGGCAUGGCUGGUUGGCUACGUUCGGGAGGGAUAACCGCUGAAAGCAUCUAAGCGGGAAGCCUGCUUCGAGAUGAGGACUCCCACCCACUUGAUGGGGUAAGGCUCCCAGUAGACGACUGGGUUGAUAGGCCGGAUCUGGAAGCACGGUAACGUGUGGAGGUGACCGGUACUAAUAGGCCGAGGGCUUGUCCUCAGUUG